AUGUUUGGUCAUGAAAUGUGGAGACGUCACCACAUUCCAAGUGCUGAGUGCAAUUACGGAUGCAGUAGAUCUCUUGCUAGGAUGUGCGCAUGGGGAAAUGUUUCCCAGAGAUGGAGUGACUUCGAUGUAAAAAUUCCUUCUUGUCUCAUGGAUUGUGCCAAGGAAAACAGCACUGGGGCAAGGCAAUCUCACAGCAGGAAGAAUGGAUCUCUCAAAAUGGAUGAACAAGAUAGAUGUGAUCUGCUCACCAUGCCUCUAGGACUGCAUCCUGUCCUCAGCUGUCUCGUUCUGCUAAACAAAGGACAUACCUAAAAAAUGCAUCAGCCUCAAGCUGAUCACAACACACGUUCUAGGAACACAAAGAAAUCAUUCUGAAGAUGGCUUUAAUGCAAUACUAUAAAAGUUUGGAUUCAGCUGACUACCAGAUGCUGAGUCAUAAAGAAAGAGACGUUUCAGAGGUAAUGGAUUAUGGAUAGAGUUUGUAGGAUUCAAUAUUUAUCUUUAUUCAAAAUCAUCGAUCUAUAUCAUCAAUGAUUCUUGCUUGUCCAGGAUCACUGUUAGUUAUAAUUUCUGGUCAAUGUUGGGGAGCAUCUGACCCUGUCACAGCAACAACACCAGCUGGUGAAGUUCUUAGGGCAGGAGAGAGAUAGACUGAAAAACCAGCCAGUGCAUGAAGGGGGAAAAGCUGUGCUGAGAGUCUGGGGAGUGAAUAAGGGAAAAACCGGUCAGUUUUCUAACAUUUAUCGAUUAAAUCCUGCCCAGGCUCUUCAUGGAGCACAGCUGUCUGCUGUAAAAGCAAAAAGCCAGCACAGAGCAACAGCAGAACCGUGCAAGGGGAAGUGCAGCUGUAGGGCUUCAACAAAUCUGGUGGUAAAUGUGCAUGUCAAGGCACGGAGCUCUGGGCUCUCCCAGGUGCUCCUGGGGCUCUGAGCUUGGUCUUUGUAACCGAGCUGUGGCUGCCGUCCUCCAGGGAAGCAGCUGCUGGAAGGAUGGAUGGAGUGUUUGGCUCCACCUGCAGUUAUUGUAGGAUUCAAACCGUGUCACUGGCUGGAUGGGUUCCUCUCAUGUUCUCUGUACAUGCACACAAACAAAAUGAACACGAUGGCAAAACACAAGAUGGGAAGCGCAGCUGUCAGGAUUUCUUGGUUCACACAAGGAAAAUGGAGAGUCGCCAAGAGAACUGAGAGAAGGAGGGCAAAUCCCUGAUAAAGAAAACCAAAGUAGACAGAAAUACUAAAAACAGGAGGCCUUUUAAGGCUUGAGAAAGUGUAAGGAAAACAAAAUGGUGUGGAGGCAGAGGAAGAAAAGGGAGAGGAACACCAGAGAGAAGCUGUGAAGCUAUUGACA
rnacentral:lncRNA from 1 species